UAACCGACCUACCACUGUGGGUGAAAACAUUUAAUGUGCUUCUGCUAUACAGAGCAGCAUGGGGUCCAGACCCAUCAGUUAAGAAUCCAUACUGUGAAAGAUUCUAUAACUACGUUCAUGGCACUACAAAAGAACUUCUGGCUUCAGAUUGUCUUUUGCACGGAGAUCCAAACUACAUGCAGGGAUCAAGUACAGAAAUAUACUGUCAGUUUAACCUUUAAAAUAUAAGUUUCCAUAACAUGACUUCACUGAGGCAUUCCAGAACAUCAGCACACAUAAAAAAGUGUCAUCUGUCAAGCCUGGCUUGUCCUUGGCCAAUUUCCUAGAUCCAGCUUAGGCCUGACUGUGAAUAAUAUGGAGUGGUGCAGCUGUACACUAUUAUAUCCUGGAUAUGAGCCAUAUACCAGCUAACUGGCCACAAAUAACCCCUAUGAAAUGCCACGCAGAUGCUGACAUUGGUUUUAAGGAUGCUCAGAUGACUUCUAUUCUAAAAGCCCUUUCUUUCUGUAUUCCGGGAUAAUGUUAUUUUGGGACAGGCUAAUGGGCCUUCUAAAUUGUACAUUUAUUUAACUGCAUGCAAUUUUGUCAUUCCCUUCUAAAAAGAAAGUUGCACAUUAAUUACAGACCAUUUUUUCCUUUGUUUUGAUCAAUUCUGCUAAUAAAAAUCUGCUUGUUAUUUGCAA